GAGGGGAAGGGGAUGGGAGGCCAGCAACAUAAAAAAAAUGGCAAUAAAGAUUUGGUUCAAAGAGGGCUCUGGCCUGAAGUGGUGGCGAUAAAAGGGUUCAGAGUACAACUUUUGCACCACAAAAUUUUGUUCUAGUAUGAUAUAUAGUGCAUCACAGUGACGAAGGAGAGGCAUUCAUCUCCGAAAUAGAUGAUGUGAUAACCAUCUAUGGUAGUAUAGGACCCUCCGUGCAGUGCAAAAGUCACAUCCCAAAGGACCGCUUGCAAAAAAAACAAUAGUUUCUGGUCUACCA
rnacentral:lncRNA from 1 species